AUAAAUAGUCUGCUCUUCCCUUGCUCGCUCUUUCACCGAGUUAAGACGUCUGUUGGGGAGCAUUAUGACUAUCAUUAUAAAACUAGGUUAUAUUUGGCAUCCGGACAGAAAAUACAAUACAUCCGUCAUAAAAUGAUAAGAUACCUUUGGGGAUCUGUAAUGAGGGUGAUUUUCGGUCUACAGAGGCGGCUGUAGGAAGUCCGUGAUAUGAAGCUGCCAUCACGUCGUCAGGAGUUGGGUGCUCAGUGCUGCAGUCUGGUUGGUCAAUCUGAGACCAUGUGACCUGCAGUGAUCCACCAGCCCUCUGGUUCCAUAGAUGGGAAGGGCUUCCCACAUACUCCCAACAUGUCAAGGGGAGAUUACUGCCCACAGCUGGUGUUAUCCAAUAUAUGCACUAUGUAGCAAACUAAGCAUUGUAUGUGGGCCAAAUCAUUAGGUCUUGUAGUGAAUGUGGAGAUUGGCCAAGGUCAAGAGACUAGACUGUUUGCUUUAACCCUGGAUUGUACACUGAAAUGGUACAUUUGAUGAUUUAACAGUAGCUGGGGGGGGGGGUGUGAGGUCUGUCUGUAACGCUGCUCUGAUUUCUUGAUGAUCAAUUCGUUUAGGCCCUAGUUUUAGCACGCCUGGGCUGCAGUCCAAACACUUAAGAUGCACCCUACCCCCUCCAGCCCUCAUUAAGUGGACACUUCUGAUAACCUAUAAUGAUAUCAAUGUUGCAAUUUAGCAAGUUGUGACAAUUUCUUGGUGUUAAGAUGGGGGCUGUCUGCAAUAGAGCGCUUCGUUCUGAUCCACAAAACAAUUACUACCGGGCUAGUUUUAUCACACCUGAAUGACUGCCCAGUUAUAUAUCUUAGUGCCACAAAGGACAGGCAAAUUAGUUGGUCCAGAAUGGGGAAGUACUGCUGGCCCUUAAAGGGAUAUUUCAGUCUUUUUUUAUGAUGCCUUUUAUUUACUUCUCCAGUCUGACCUCAUGGAUAUCAGUUUGGUCUGCAUCCAGUUUGAAGGAAGUAGCCAGCUAUUGCUUAUAGCGUUAGCAGAUACCACAGACAUCUUCAUUUCGCUAACGCUGUCUUACAAUUGUGCCAGUUAGCUACUUCAUUUCAAACUAGAUGCAGAGACAUAAAUGGUAUUGAGGUCAUCUAACUCUGGAAGUAGACAAUAGAGCCCAGUUGUCAAAAGCCUAAAGUUACAAUGUACUCGUCACCCCUCGCUCUGCUUGCCCUACCUAUAAACUCCAGACUGGCGCACCUGUCUUAAGGUGCUGGAGACCUCACUACAGACACCCUGGUUUGAAUCUAGGCUGUGUCACAACCGGCCAUGAUCGGAAAUCCCUUGGCGCGUCGUCCGGGUUUGGCCUGUGUAGGCCGUCAUUGUAAAUAAGAAUUUGUUCUUAACGGACUUGCCUACUUCAUUAAAAAAAUACUUAUUUAAGUGUACCCUACAACUGGUGUCGGCAACGGUAUGGUUGAUCUCCAGUGUGGAGACUGGUGUUUAGUUGUAAUAUUUUUAUGAUGUCAAUAAAGUUUUAUAACAUGUG